rnacentral:rRNA from 1 species
UACGGAGGGGGCGAGCGUUGUCCGGAAUCACUGGGCGUAAAGCGCGCGCAGGCGGCGAUCUACGUCUGGGGUGAAAGCCCGGAGCUCAACUCCGGGACUGCCUUGGAUACGGGAUCGCUUGAGGAUUGGAGAGGCAAGGGGAAUUCCACGUGUAGCGGUGAAAUGCGUAGAUAUGUGGAGGAACACCUGUGGCGAAGGCGCCUUGCUGGCCAAUUUCUGACGCUGAGGCGCGAAAGCGUGGGGAGCAAACAGG